UGCACUCAAAGAUCCUGGUGUGCAAGCAGAAGGCUCUUCUGACUGUGCGUUUAUGGCUAAUUAUUUAUCUGCUCCACACACAACAAUGUGCAGCCCCUCCGCCCUUCUAAAGAUGGUUGCUGCAGGCCAUGGGUUAUUUGAGGGUUGUUCCCCUCAAACAAGCCACCCCACCCAGGUUCGGGCAAGACAACAAAUCAUGAUUGGAUACACAAGGAGGAAAUAUUGGUUGAAGGGAGGGACAAGACUCUUACCAAGAGCUGGAAGGCCACAUCAGUGAUUCAUUGGAGAAAAACUUCUGGAGUUCCUUCCCUUUGUCUGUAGCAGCAGUCAUAACUCAUACGUACCUUUCCUUUGGCAAGCAGCAAAUACAAGC